rnacentral:rRNA from 1 species
AUAACGUUUCGAAAGGAACGCUAAUACCGCAUACGCCCUACGGGGGAAAGGGGGGGAUCUUCGGACCUCUCGCUAUUAGAUGAGCCCAAGUCGGAUUAGCUAGUUGGUGAGGUAAAGGCUCACCAAGGCGACGAUCCGUAGCUGGUCUGAGAGGAUGAUCAGCCACACUGGAACUGAGACACGGUCCAGACUCCUACGGGAGGCAGCAGUGGGGAAUAUUGGACAAUGGGCGAAAGCCUGAUCCAGCCAUGCCGCGUGUGUGAAGAAGGCCUUCGGGUUGUAAAGCACUUUAAGCGAGGAGGAAUGGCUCUGGGUUAAUACCCUUGAGCAGUGACGUUACUCGCAGAAUAAGCACCGGCUAACUCUGUGCCAGCAGCCGCGGUAAUACAGAGGGUGCAAGCGUUAAUCGGAAUUACUGGGCGUAAAGCGCGCGUAGGCGGUUACGUAAGUUGGAUGUGAAAUCCCCGGGCUCAACCUGGGAAUUGCAUUCAAAACUGCGUGGCUAGAGUGUGGGAGAGGAAGGUAGAAUUCCAGGUGUAGCGGUGAAAUGCGUAGAUAUCUGGAGGAAUACCGAUGGCGAAGGCAGCCUUCUGGCCUAACACUGACGCUGAGGUGCGAAAGCAUGGGGAGCAAACAGGAUUAGAUACCCUGGUAGUCCAUGCCGUAACGAUGUCUACUA